CUGGAUCUUACAGAGAAAGACUAUGAAAUACUUUUCAAAUCUAUUAAUGGAAUCCUUUUCCCUGGAGGAAGUGUUGACCUCAGACGCUCAGAUUAUGCUAAAGUGGCCAAAAUAUUUUAUAACUUGUCCAUACAGAGUUUUGAUGAUGGAGACUAUUUUCCUGUGUGGGGCACAUGCCUUGGAUUUGAAGAGCUUUCACUGCUGAUUAGUGGAGAGUGCUUAUUAACUGCCACAGAUACUGUUGAUGUGGCAAUGCCGCUGAACUUCACUGGAGGUCAAUUGCACAGCAGAAUGUUCCAGAAUUUUCCUACUGAGUUGUUGCUGUCAUUAGCAGUAGAACCUCUGACUGCCAAUUUCCAUAAGUGGAGCCUCUCCGUGAAGAAUUUUACAAUGAAUGAAAAGUUAAAGAAGUUUUUCAAUGUCUUAACUACAAAUACAGAUGGCAAGAUUGAGUUUAUUUCAACAAUGGAAGUUUUCCUGGGUAUUUUCCUGAAUGGGGUGGUGAAGAAGAAAAGUAAAAGAAUAAAGGGGGCAAGGAUGAAGAAAGAAAUGAAGAAAAUGACUUCUGUUUCUAGCAAUAUUGCAGAUUAAAUACCUUGACAGACUUUCCUCCAGCCAACAACAAAAUAAAUUGGGUGAUAGAGAAAAACAUAGUAAAUACGUUGAUGAAUUGGCAAAGAAAUAAAGAUACUCAGGUCCAAA
rnacentral:sRNA from 1 species